UAGCAUGCUGAAUAUACCGGUUCUCGUUAGAUCACCGAAGUCAAGCAUCAUUAGGCGCGGUCAGUACUUGGGUGGGUGACCU